rnacentral:rRNA from 1 species
GAUUGACCUCGGAUCGGGUAGGGAUACCCGCUGAACUUAAGCAUAUCAAUAAGCGGAGGAAAAGAAACCAACAGGGAUUGCCUCAGUAACGGCGAGUGAAGCGGCAACAGCUCAAAUUUGAAAUCUGGCUCGUUCCGGGUCCGAGUUGUAAUUUGUAGAGGGUGUUUCGGGUGCGGCGCCGGUCUAAGUCCCUUGGAACAGGGUGUCAUAGAGGGUGAGAACCCCGUAUGGGACCGGUGACCAACCCCAUGUGAAGCCCCUUCGACGAGUCGAGUUGUUUGGGAAUGCAGCUCAAAAUGGGUGGUAAAUUCCAUCUAAAGCUAAAUACCGGCCAGAGACCGAUAGCGCACAAGUAGAGUGAUCGAAAGAUGAAAAGCACUUUGGAAAGAGAGUUAAAAAGUACGUGAAAUUGUUGAAAGGGAAGCGCUUGCGACCAGACCUGCACUCGGGCGAUCAGCGGGCCCUUUCGGCCCCGUGCACUCGCCCGCGAGCAGGCCAGCAUCGGCCCCGGCGGUCGGAUAAAGGCUCGAAGAAUGUAGCUCCCUUCGGGGAGUGUUAUAGCUUCCCGCGCAAUACGGCCAGCCGGGACCGAGGACCGCGCUUCGGCUAGGAUGCUGGCGUAAUGGUUGUAAGCGACCCGUCUUGAAACACGGACCAAGGAGUCUAACAUCUAUGCGAGUGUUUGGGUGUCAAACCCGUGCGCGGAAUGAAAGUGAACGGAGGUGGGAACCCCGAAGGGCGCACCAUCGACCGAUCCAGAUGUCUUCGGAUGGAUUUGAGUACGAGCAUAGCUGUUGGGACCCGAAAGAUGGUGAACUAUGCCUGAAUAGGGUGAAGCCAGAGGAAACUCUGGUGGAGGCUCGCAGCGGUUCUGACGUGCAAAUCGAUCGUCAAAUUUGGGUAUAGGGGCGAAAGACUAAUCGAACCAUCUAGUAGCUGGUUCCUGCCGAAGUUUCCCUCAGGA